ACCCACUCAUUACUCUCUCUUUUUCUCAUAUCCAUCGAGCGCCCUAAAUGCCCCCAAAUAAAAGUUUGUACUUAAUUCUUUUUCUCUUUCAAUCUCAAAAUUUGCCCCCAAAUUUCCCAUUUUCCCUUUCAAUCAGAUCUUCAUGAAUAAGAAGAAGAAAAAUCAGUACUUUCUUUCCAUUGAAGAACUAGAAAUGAAAUAGGAUUUCAAGGGAAAAUGUCAAGAGAAAAACUAAGAAGAGCCGCACUUCCUCCUGUUCAAGAGGUGUUCUUAUUUAUUUCUAUUGCUUUCAGUAUAUAUUUCUUUGAUUAUUUCUGUUGAUAAUAGUUGUAGGAGUUUGAGUGGUGAUUCUUUACAAGGUGUGGAGUUGCUGGUGCUACGGCGGAGGAGGAGAAUGGAGUGAUAGUUGUUGAGAUGAGUGUUGGAAAGCGGAGACGGGGAAGACCGUCGAGGAAUCAAGUGAGAAACACGUCGUCAUCGGCGCCGCCGCCACCGCCUCAAAGGAAGGAUGAGGAUGAUGAAGAAGAUGUUUGUUUUAUAUGCUUCGAUGGCGGCAAUCUUGUGCUUUGUGAUCGACGGUGAGUUUGGAAAUUUUUUAACAUUCACAAUGGAAUGCUAAAACUUACAGAAGGUGGCACUUCUUGAGGUUGAAUGCACAUCUUUAAAUCAAGAAUUGCAAGACAUGGAAGCUCGUUUUCGUCGUGGACAAAAGAAGUCCCCAGAAGAAGCAAAUCAAAUGCUUCAGGCAUGGCAGGAGGAAGUGGAGCGUGCACGCCAAGGUCAAAGAGAUGCUGAGAGCAAGCUCUCUUCAUUAGAGGC